GUUCGCCCAUAGCAUAAUGGAUCAUCAGUUUACACUUCACGUGUUCUUCCUCGAGCUGCUGCAGAAACGGCGGCAGGAAGAAGAAGAAAUCCGUGCUGCUCCGGAGCGUCAGUUUACGCUCGACGCGUUUUUUGAGGAGCUACUGCAGAGACAUCUGCAGUGAGAAGAG